rnacentral:rRNA from 1 species
UACGUAGGGGGCAAGCGUUGUCCGGAUUUAUUGGGCGUAAAGAGCUCGUAGGCGGCUUGUCGCGUCGGUUGUGAAAGCCCGGGGCUCAACCCCGGGCCUGCAUUCGAUACGGGCAGACUAGAGUUCGGUAGGGGAGUCUGGAAUUCCUGGUGUAGCGGUGAAAUGCGCAGAUAUCAGGAGGAACACCGGUGGCGAAGGCGGGUCUCUGGGCCGAUACUGACGCUGAGGAGCGAAAGCGUGGGGAGCGAACAGG